rnacentral:pre_miRNA from 14 species
GACCGCACGGGAUACUAGAAUAUCCCGCGCGGUACGUUAAGUGGACCGCACGGGAUAAUCGAUUAUCCAGUGCGGUU